rnacentral:rRNA from 1 species
UACGUAGGCAGCAAGCGUUGUUCGGAAUUACUGGGCGUAAAGAGUGUGUAGGCGGUGCUCUAAGUUCGGUGUGAAAUCUCCCGGCUUAACUGGGAGGGUGCGCCGGAAACUGGAGUGCUCGAGCGUGGGAGAGGAAAGCGGAAUUCCUGGUGUAGCGGUGAAAUGCGUAGAUAUCUGGAGGAACACCGGUGGCGAAGGCGGCAUCCUGGACCAACACUGACGCUGAGUGAGCGAAAGCCAGGGGAGCAAACGGG